UUUUGAUCAUUUUAUCAUUUAUUUGUAUAAAACAAUUUACCUACACCAGACACAAACUCUCUCUGCCAUCACCUCCACCAACCACUAGCCACCACCAUAACCUCCACCAAACACCCCCAGCCCCACCACCACGACCACCGCACCACCGCCAUUACUACUCCCACGCGCCACCCCACCCACCAGCCUUCGCACCCCUACGACUACCGCACCACCGUCCACCGCCAUUACCACUCCCACGAGCCAUUCAUCUCUCAGAUCUGGAAGGAGGCGGCGGCUGGUUGUUGACUUUGGGUGUUCGGUGUCUCUUAGAUCUGGAAGGAGGCGGCGGCUGGUUGUUGAUUUUGGGUGUUCGAUGUGGGGUUAAGGUGAGGGUGUGGUGGGAGGAUGACAAAGACGGGUCAUGGCCGGAGUUAUAAAGUCUCCGGCGAGUCGGAUCGAGUCACAGAAGGUCGGGCAGAGAAAUUGCUUGGUAUAGGAAAAAGGUUUGCUACUGGUUUGGGGACGGGUUUUUAUACCGGUGACGUAAAAUAGUUUAGGUAGGUUUGAUGAUUGCAACAAUUUCAGGUGUUCUUAUUUUGGUACAAAAGCUCAUAUACAAUUUGAAAUAACUGAAAAGAAAAUAGAACGUUUAUGUUUGGAAAGUUAUGUUUUUGAUUUGGUGUGCAAAUGCUUCGCUGGUUCCUGGUUUUUAG
rnacentral:lncRNA from 1 species